rnacentral:miRNA from 1 species
UGAUUACCCACCGUUGGAUGUAAAUUCAAUGGUUCAAAAUUUUUUUUUUAAUUGAGUGUAAGAGUGAGUGAACCGUUGAAUUUACAUCCAACAGUGAGUGAC